GUGAGUAACGCGUAGAUAAUCUACCCCUGUAUCUGGGAUAACCAAUCGAAAGGCUGGCUAAUACCGGAUAGUCUUAUAAUAUCGCAAGAUAACUUGAGUAAAGGUGACCUCUCGACGAAGUUGCCGUAUAGGGAUGAGUUUGCGUACCAUUAGCUAGUAGGUAAGGUAACGGCUUACCUAGGCUACGAUGGUUAGCGGGUCUGAGAGGAUGAUCCGUCACACUGGAACUGAAACACGGACCAGACUCC
rnacentral:rRNA from 1 species